rnacentral:rRNA from 1 species
UACGUAGGUGGCAAGCGUUAUCCGGAAUUAUUGGGCGUAAAGAGCGCGCAGGUGGUUGAUUAAGUCUGAUGUGAAAGCCCACGGCUUAACCGUGGAGGGUCAUUGGAAACUGGUCGACUUGAGUGCAGAAGAGGGAAGUGGAAUUCCAUGUGUAGCGGUGAAAUGCGUAGAUAUUAGGAGGAACACCAGUGGCGAAGGCGACUUUCUGGACUGUAACUGACGCUGAGGCACGAAAGCAUGGGUAGCAAACAGGAUUAGA